rnacentral:lncRNA from 1 species
AUUAGAAGGAUUAAUUACCACACCUGCUCAAAUGUAACAUGGAUAGAUAAACUUUUUUCAGAGAGCUUGUCAUACUUUAUUAUUAUUAUUACAGUAUAAACAGCUGCUAAUUCAAACUUUAUUAAUAAGUAUAUUCUGCUACUAACAAGUUCAUCAAAUAAAAAUCUGCCCUACAGAGCAUGGAUUCAUUUUAACUCGAUUUUCAAGCUCCUCUGAACCUGAGUUCACAUACUAGUUGUGUACUAACUGUAACUAGUGCAAAGAUUGCAAGUCAGAUUAUUAAGAUUGCAAGUCAGAUUAUACUACUAACAUAUCCUCAGUGAAUAAAAACCAGAGAAAAGGAAACUCUCAACCAGUGCAAUCAUGCAAGCACAGAACUAGUCUAGAUGUUGUAGAGGAGCUUACACUCUAUUCCUUUAAAAUUACUAGAACUACACAUUCUGAGUGACUACCUGUACAAAACAUGAAAUCCUCAAUUUUUUACAGAAUUCCAUAAAGGAUUGUUUGGUAAUAAGUUCAGAGUGAUAUCUGAAACUUCACUAGAACUAACUACCUGUACAAAACAUGAAAUCCUCAAAUUUUUACAGAAUUCCAUAAAGGAUUGUUUGGUAAUAAGUUCAGAGUGAUAUCUGAAACUUCAGUUCUCAAAAGUCAAUAACUCCAGCGUAAGUAACAGAGCACUGAUUGCUAGGAGAAUGUUUUCUUUGGCACGGAGUGAACAAAGCAAGAACUUUUUGGAUCACCAUUUACCCCAAGUCACUGAAAUCACUCCAGUCCUACCACUCGGGUGGCGACUAACUACGACUGAAAUUCCAGUGGCAAGGCCCCUUGAAUGAAUAGUCUAAACGCAACUACAGGUUUCCAGAUGCAGAGAACUGCGCAGCAACACUGUCGCACUUGCACCCCAGAGCAGAGAGAUCGCACCUCGGCGGCGCGGCACACAAGUACGACGACAACCCCGAGCUAUGGAUCCCAAGCUCAGUCGAAAUGGAAACGAACAGAGCAAGAGCGCGCACAUACCUGCUGCGGGCGUUAAAUGCAGGGUGGCAGACUGGGGAUGCUUCUCGGCCGAUGUCGUGGGGCUGGGGAUGCUUCUUCUUGGCCGAUGUCACCGGCCUCAAGGCAAGGAGCGGCGGAGCUCGAUGUCGGGUUCCAGGCUUCCAGCGGCGCGGCUCAAGGCAAGGAGAGGUGGAGUUCCGACGGCGCGGCUCAAGGCAAGGAGCGGCGGAGCUCGACGUCGGGUUCCAGGCUUCCAGCGGCGCGACUCAAGGCAAGGAGAGGUGGAGUUCCGACGGCGCG